rnacentral:rRNA from 1 species
UACGUAGGUGGCAAGCGUUGUCCGGAAUUAUUGGGCGUAAAGCGCGCGCAGGCGGUCCUUUAAGUCUGAUGUGAAAGCCCACGGCUCAACCGUGGAGGGUCAUUGGAAACUGGGGGACUUGAGUGCAGGAGAGAAGAGUGGAAUUCCACGUGUAGCGGUGAAAUGCGUAGAGAUGUGGAGGAACACCAGUGGCGAAGGCGACACGCUGGGCCAUACCUGACGCUAAAGCGCGACAGCAUGGGGAGCAAACGGG